GUUGGCAGCAGCCACAGGCGAACCUCUCCAGAUGAUCUUAACAGGCAGUGGGGCUCAUGGCGAAGAAGACGUUCUCUUAAAUACCCAGGGCCUAAACGGUUUAGGGCAUUAUAGUUCCUCUGGUUCCCUAUCAAUGAGGUUCAGCACUUCAAAGCGGUUCCUGAUGUUCUCCUUUAAAAUGGCCAUACAGUCUGAUUGUUUUCCUCUUUACCAUUUCCAGCAUUGGCAUUCCAACCUCCAACCACCACCAGCACAUCCUGCUUGCAUGUUCUGUCAAUUGCAGACUGGACUUGAGCAUAAAACUCAUCAAUUUCCUCUUCUUCUGCAUCAGUUGUUGGGGCAUAGACUUGGAAAACAGUCAUGUUAAAAGGUGUCCAUGAAAUCUAAUUGAUAUUAGUCGGUCACUGACCGCAUUGUACCCAAUUACUGUCAUUGCUAUAUCCUUCCUGACUAUGAGAGCAACACUGUUCCUUUGUUUUUCGUGACCUGAGUACUAAACGGUAUGAUUUUCUGACUGAAA